UACAGAGGUCUCAAGCGUUGUUCGGAUUCAUUGGGCGUAAAGGGUGCGUAGGUGGUGCUGUAAGUCAGGUGUGAAAUCUCGGGGCUCAACCCCGAAACUGCACUUGAUACUGCAGUGCUCGAGGACUGGAGAGGAGAUUGGAAUUCAUGGUGUAGCAGUGAAAUGCGUAGAUAUCAUGAGGAAGACCAGUGGCGAAGGCGGAUCUCUGGACAGUUCCUGACACUGAGACGCGAAAGCGUGGGGAGCAAACAGG
rnacentral:rRNA from 1 species